rnacentral:rRNA from 1 species
AGUUCGGAUUGGAGUCUGCAACUCGACUCCAUGAAGCCGGAAUCGCUAGUAAUGGCGCAUCAGCUACGGCGCCGUGAAUACGUUCCCGGGCCUUGUACACACCGCCCGUCACAUCAUGGAAGUUGCUUGUAGCCGAAGCCGGCGCGCUAACCCGCAAGGGAUGCAGCCGUCUACGCUAUGAGCAGUAACUGGGAUGAAGUCGUAACAAGGUAGCCGUAGGGGAACCUGCGGCUGGAUCACCUCCUUUCUAAGG